ACGGGGCCCUUCCCUUCCCCUCACGGGGCCCUUCCCUUCCCCUCACGGGGCUCUUCCCCUCACGGCCCCGGGGCGGCUCCCGGAGCCCAGAGCGCGGCUGCUGCUCCUCUGCGUGCUCAAGGAGACACUUCGGGGCUGGCGGGGAUCGCUUGUGGUUCACCGUGAGGAAAAGCGAACCAGAUAUGGGCAAAUUGCGGAGACAUUUCAUCUAAAUGUGCUGGCAGCCAACAAAUGAUCAGCUCCUCGUAAUGCACAGCAGUGGCGGCAGGGGAAUCAAGGGAGGGGCUCAAGCUGUUUUUAAGUAACUCGUCACAAGGGUGGAAGUGACAUGGGUGUACAGAUGACAGCUUGUCCCCCAGUUUGCUGGAAUGGAAUUUUGUCACUUACCUUGCUGCACAGCAUCAACAGAUGUUGGACCCAUUGUCCUGCUCUCCCUUCCCUACUUCAGCACUGCAUACAUAGGAAUGAGGGACAGCUCCCAUCAAGGAACUCUAGUCUGCCUGAAGAGUCCAGCAAUGAAGUGCCUCUCUUCAAUUCCUGCCUUGGCCAGCAAGAUCCUCCAAAAAACUUGUGUCUUCUUCACAGUCCCCUUCUGACCUGCCAGGGUUUUCUGCAGGGCUGAGCACUGUCAUGUUGCUCUGAAGUUCUGCAUAAAGCCUAGACAAAAGGCUAAAGAUAGCAUUGGUGUUAAAUAAGUGUGGAGGGAAGGAAGGCAGAAAACCUGCGGCCAGAAUACAGCAGUGACUUGCUACCAGCCUGGCAUUCAUUUUCAAGGCAAUUAAGUGUGCAGUGCUAGAUCAGAGCACAACAGCCAGUCAGCCUCAGUUUACAUUCCUCGCAGUUACCUGGGUACACUCCUGUAAGGUAAAACCCAGGAUCUGUAGAUGUGCAAAAACUUUUGUCAAAGCUGUGGGUAUCAGGCCCAGUGCCAGGGUUCAGAGCUGUGCAGGUGCACAGGCUGAGUCAGUGACACAGCUCCCUGCCUGCAAGCCUGAGGGGAGGAGCACGGCCCAGACUUACUGACAAGGCAGGGUGGCAAAGGCUCUUGGUUUGUCCUGAUGGAGAGUCCCUUGAAUCUUUGCACUAGUAUCCUAAGGUACUUUUUAUACAACAUGUGUUAUCCAACUGUUUUUUGUAAUCAUAUGAAUCUCCAGUAAGAUGACUAGUGUUGCACCCUCCUUGUACCAGUCUAAAAACGAACGUGUACAGCAGCUGACUGCAAUGCAAGGCAGCGAUACCUUUCUGCUUUUGCUUCCUCUUGUUUCCAGGACUGAAUUGCUUAAAUAAAUCUUCCUGCAUGUGAAUUACAUCCA